rnacentral:rRNA from 1 species
UACGAAGGGGGCUAGCGUUGUUCGGAAUUACUGGGCGUAAAGCGCAUGUAGGCGGCGAUUCAAGUCGGGGGUGAAAUCCCAGGGCUCAACCCUGGAACUGCCUUCGAUACUGUCUUGCUUGAGUAUGGAAGAGGUAAGUGGAACUGCAAGUGUAGAGGUGAAAUUCGUAGAUAUUUGCAAGAACACCAGUGGCGAAGGCGGCUUACUGGUCCAUUACUGACGCUGAGAUGCGAAAGCGUGGGGAGCAAACAGG